rnacentral:rRNA from 1 species
CAGUCGCCGCGGUAAUACGUAGGUGGCAAGCGUUGUCCGGAAUUAUUGGGCGUAAAGGGCUCGCAGGCGGUUUCUUAAGUCUGAUGUGAAAGCCCCCGGCUCAACCGGGGAGGGUCAUUGGAAACUGGGAAACUUGAGUGCAGAAGAGGAGAGUGGAAUUCCGCGUGUAGCGGUGAAAUGCGUAGAGAUGUGGAGGAACACCAGUGGCGAAGGCGACUCUCUGGUCUGUAACUGACGCUGAGGAGCGAAAGCGUGGGGAGCGAACAGGAUUAGAUACCCCGGUAGUCCCUGUCUCUUAUAC